rnacentral:rRNA from 1 species
UGAACGCUGGCGGCAAGCCUCAUACAUGCAAGUCGAACGAGAAAGCAUCUUCGGAUGUGAGUAAAGUGGCGGACGGGUGAGUAAUACAUAGGAAUCUACCCAAUGGCGGGGGACAGCUCGAGGAAACUCGAAUUAAUACCGCAUAAUCUCUACGGAGUAAAGAGGGCUUCGGCUCUCACCAUCGGAUGAGCCUAUGCAAGAUUAGCUUGUUGGUAAGGUAAUGGCUUACCAAGGCUACGAUCUUUAGCUGGUUUGAGAGGAUGACCAGCCACAUCGGGACUGAGACACGGCCCGGACUUCUACGGAAGGCAGCAGUAGGGAAUAUUGGACAAUGAGCGAAAGCUUGAUCCAGCUAUGCCGCGUGUGCGAUGACGGCCCUCGGGUUGUAAAGCACUUUAGGUAACGAGGAAAAGUUAGGUGUUAAUACCACUUAACCAUGACGUUAAUUACAGAAUAAGCACCGGCUAA